AGAGUUUGAUCAUGGCUCAGAACGAACGCUGGCGGCAGGCUUAACACAUGCAAGUCGAACGCAUCCUUCGGGGUGAGUGGCAGACGGGUGAGUAACGCGUGGGAACGUGCCCUUCAGUUCGGGAUAACCCAGGGAAACUUGGGCUAAUACCGGAUACGUGCGAGAGCAGAAAGAUUUAUCGCUGAAGGAUCGGCCCGCGUCUGAUUAGCUAGUUGGUGAGGUAAUGGCUCACCAAGGCGACGAUCAGUAGCUGGUCUGAGAGGAUGAUCAGCCACAUUGGGACUGAGACACGGCCCAAACUCCUACGGGAGGCAGCAGUGGGGAAUAUUGGACAAUGGGCGCAAGCCUGAUCCAGCCAUGCCGCGUGAGUGAUGAAGGCCUUAGGGUUGUAAAGCUCUUUCGUCCGGGACGAUAAUGACGGUACCGGAAGAAGAAGCCCCGGCUAACUUCGUGCCAGCAGCCGCGGUAAUACGAAGGGGGCUAGCGUUGUUCGGAAUCACUGGGCGUAAAGGGCGCGUAGGCGGCUUUGUAAGUCGGGGGUGAAAGCCUGUGGCUCAACCACAGAAUUGCCUUCGAUACUGCAUGGCUUGAGACCGGAAGAGGUAAGUGGAACUGCGAGUGUAGAGGUGAAAUUCGUAGAUAUUCGCAAGAACACCAGUGGCGAAGGCGGCUUACUGGUCCGGUUCUGACGCUGAGGCGCGAAAGCGUGGGGAGCAAACAGGAUUAGAUACCCUAGUAGUCC
rnacentral:rRNA from 1 species